rnacentral:rRNA from 1 species
UCCAGACUCCUACGGGAGGCAGCAGUGGGGGAUAUUGCACAAUGGGGGGAACCCUGAUGCAGCGACGCCGCGUGGGUGAAGAAGCGCCUCGGCGCGUAAAGCCCUGUCAGCAGGGAAGAAAAUGACGGUACCUGAAGAAGAAGCCCCGGCUAACUACGUGCCAGCAGCCGCGGUAAUACGUAGGGGGCAAGCGUUAUCCGGAUUCACUGGGUGUAAAGGGAGCGUAGACGGCCAUGCAAGCCUGGAGUGAAAGCCCGGGGCCCAACCCCGGGACUGCUCUGGGAACUGUGCGGCUGGAGUGCGGGAGGGGCAGGCGGAAUUCCUGGUGUAGCGGUGAAAUGCGUAGAUAUACGGAGGAACACCAGUGGCGAAGGCGGAUUGCUGGACAGUAACUGACGCUGAGGCGCGAAAGCGUGGGGAGCAAACAGGAUUAGAUACCCCCGUA